rnacentral:rRNA from 1 species
AGCGAACGCUGGCGGCAGGCCUAACACAUGCAAGUCGAACGAACCUUUCGGGGUUAGUGGCGGACGGGUGAGUAACACGUGGGAACGUGCCUUUAGGUUCGGAAUAACUCAGGGAAACUUGUGCUAAUACCGAAUGUGCCCUUCGGGGGAAAGAUUUAUCGCCUUUAGAGCGGCCCGCGUCUGAUUAGCUAGUUGGUUGAGGUAAUGGCUCACCAAGGCGACGAUCAGUAGCUGGUCUGAGAGGAUGAUCAGCCACAUUGGGGCUGAGACACGGCCCAAACUCCUACGGGAGGCAGCAGUGGGGAAUCUUGCGCAAUGGGCGAAAGCCUGACGCAGCCAUGCCGCGUGAAUGAUGAAGGUCUUAGGAUUGUAAAAUUCUUUCACCUGGGACGAUAAUGACGGUACCCGGAGAAGAAGCCCCGGCUAACUUCGUG